UACGAAGGGGGCUAGCGUUGCUCGGAAUCACUGGGCGUAAAGCGCACGUAGGCGGAUCGUUAAGUCGGGGGUGAAAUCCUGGAGCUCAACUCCAGAACUGCCUCCGAUACUGGCGAUCUUGGAGUCCGGGAGAGGUGAGUGGAACUCCGAGUGUAGAGGUGAAAUUCGUAGAUAUUCGGAAGAACACCAGUGGCGAAGGCGGCUCACUGGCCCGGUACUGACGCUGAGGUGCGAAAGCGUGGGGAGCAACAGG
rnacentral:rRNA from 1 species